rnacentral:rRNA from 2 species
UAAUACAUGCAAGUCGAACGAGUUCUGAUUAUUGAAAGGUGCUUGCAUCUUGAUUUAAUUUUGAACGAGUGGCGGACGGGUGAGUAACACGUGGGUAACCUGCCCUUAAGUGGGGGAUAACAUUUGGAAACAGAUGCUAAUACCGCAUAAAUCCCAAGAACCGCAUGGUUCUUGGGCUGAAAGAUGGCGUAAGCUAUCGCUUUUGGAUGGACCCGCGGCGUAUUAGCUAGUUGGUGAGGUAACGGCUCACCAAGGCAAUGAUACGUAGCCGAACUGAGAGGUUGAUCGGCCACAUUGGGACUGAGACACGGCCCAAACUCCUACGGGAGGCAGCAGUAGGGAAUCUUCCACAAUGGACGCAAGUCUGAUGGAGCAACGCCGCGUGAGUGAAGAAGGCUUUCGGGUCGUAAAACUCUGUUGUUGGAGAAGAAUGGUCGGCAGAGUAACUGUUGUCGGCGUGACGGUAUCCAACCAGAACGCCACGGCUAACUACGUGC